GACUGGUCCAAGUGUAGUGGUGUUUAUGACUAAUUGCUCAGAAUUUAUGGAUUUCUUUGCUCCUUCUCCAUUCCCAUUGUUUCAUUUGAAUAGCCUUAA
ensembl:misc_RNA Y_RNA Y RNA